rnacentral:rRNA from 1 species
GAUGAACGCUGGCGGCGUGCCUAAUACAUGCAAGUCGAGCGAACAGACGAGGAGCUUGCUCCUCUGACGUUAGCGGCGGACGGGUGAGUAACACGUGGAUAACCUACCUAUAAGACUGGGAUAACUUCGGGAAACCGGAGCUAAUACCGGAUAACAUGUUGAACCGCAUGGUUCAACAGUGAAAGACGGUCUUGCUGUCACUUAUAGAUGGAUCCGCGCCGCAUUAGCUAGUUGGUAAGGUAACGGCUUACCAAGGCAACGAUGCGUAGCCGACCUGAGAGGGUGAUCGGCCACACUGGAACUGAGACACGGUCCAGACUCCUACGGGAGGCAGCAGUAGGGAAUCUUCCGCAAUGGGCGAAAGCCUGACGGAGCAACGCCGCGUGAGUGAAGAAGGUCUGCGGAUCGUAAAACUCUGUUAUUAGGGAAGAACAAAUGUGUAAGUAACGAUGCACGUCUGGACGGUACCUAAGCAGAAAGCCACGGCUAACUACGG